rnacentral:lncRNA from 1 species
AAAGUUACACAAGAAGAAUUGGCCCUUGACCAGCCUGAUUGGUUGCAGGAGGGGACCAAUCAGAGGUACCUCCCAUUUUUCAUCUGCAGCCCAAUGCAAAGUAAUGACAUGGAUCUGGAGAGAUUCUCUUAGGAGAGAAUCUGGCUAAGUGUCUAGCAGGAUGAUUGAUUAACAAGAUGUUUUGUUUUCAUCAUCUCAGAGAUAACUGUAUUGAGGUAUAAUUGAUAUGCCAAAUAACUGGACACAUUCAACUUGUGCAAUUUGAUGAGUUUGGAGAUACACAUACAUCUGUGAAACCAUCACCAAAAUCAAGAGUACAUGGUUUCCAGGCCAAAUACCACAGUGUUCCAGGCAAGGAUGUGGUCAGUUUCCUUCUCUGCUGGAUCCCAAAGCCCAGGGCAGCUCUUGCACAUAGAUCGUUGUCAUUGGAUUUAAGAGGGCCUACCCUGAUAAUACAGGAUAAACUCCUUCUCCCAAAACCUUUUCUUCUCUCAGAAUCUUUUGGCAGCAAACACAUUCAAGCAUCUUCUAUGUGCCAAGAACUUGCUGGAAAACAUCACAAAAGUUAAUAUUUUCUGGAGAUCAAGGAAUGAAACUCAGCCCUCUGCAAAUGGAACACAAACGCCUGGUACAUGGAUGCUACAAUGAAAAGAAUAUGGGUGCUGAAAUCAGAGAGAAUCAUCCAAGAUGAUCCUUAUGCAUGCUGAACUCUGAGAGCCACCAGUGAAGAAGAUAAGUGACCCAUCUACCUGUAGCUGGAAAAUAAAGGCUCUUUGGGAUUCUUUCCCAUGAGUCUUCAUUUCACCAUAUUGGUGAGAGAAGGCAUUCAGGCCCAAUAAUUAACUGAACAUUAGCUGUGUACCAGACACUGUGGUCGACAUUGAGAUAUAACGGAUUUAAGAAAGUCUUUGUGGCUGUGGUGGCUUCAAAUCACUCCCGAGGCUUUAGAAGAAUAUAAUUGCCGUUCUAAGAAGAAUCUGAGGCCUCUAGGAGAUCUGCCAGUAGUGGCCCCAAUGUAUAACAGCACUAGCUCAGUGAAGAGAGAGAGAAAAGAUCUGAAGAGAGUGGUUGCAGUUUGAGCUCUGUCAAUGGGACAGUCCUGGGCAGGAGACUGGGGAGAAGAGGCGGCUUGCUGGUUUUCCUGAACCACUUCCACCCUGAAAGACUCCUUGCAUACAAUCAUCAGAGAAGAACCGUGGGAACCAAGAACCAUGAGCAGGAGAACCAUGAGCACACUGUUCGCAAUGGCCAAGAUUUGGAGGCAACCUAAGUGUCCAUCGACAGACAAAUGGUUAAAGAAAAUGAGGAAGGAAUAUCAAGAAAAUAGACUACAAAUAAAUGUCUUUUAUUUCUACUUCUUCAAUAUAUAUUAUAACAUUCUUCUUGCCAACUGAUCUUCUUGCCUCCAAUUUGACCCCUCUGAUCCACCAAGUAUUGCAUACUACCGUGUUUUGAGACAUAGGAGGAGGAAAAAACCAUGGCUGCGGAGGUGAUUUAAUAUCCUGUUGACUCUGAAGAAAAAUACACUUCUUCAUUAUAAGAGUUUUAUUGCCAAUGACUAGAAGGAAAUGUAAAGGGGACAACACAAGAUGACUAACACAGGAAGUUAUAAAACUCACAGCUCUAACUGUCAUGGCCCUGGGCCCAUGGUGCCUGAAUCCCUCUGGGAGUAUUAAAUGGAAGGCCCCCUGGUACCUGAAUUUUGUUUUAGUUUUCUCUCUCCAUCUCUGUGAUUACACAUAAAAUCAGCCAAGCACCUGCUCCCCUCCAGCCUAGAUAACACAUACCUCCAUGCUAUAAAGGGACAAUUUGACCAAGAGACACCCACCUCACCUGACCACAGAGCUGGAAAAUCUACUAUGUCAGACUUCCAUGCAACCGCUGGUGGGAGAAAGUUUUCACGAGUCUCUCUGGGCCCUUAUCCCUCUCCCCUGUAUUCCCAUCCUUAUCCAAAUCCACAUUUCACCAAACUCCCUAACGCUAAGCAGCUGUUGAAGUUCAGAUCACAGUCUCUGAGGAGCUCCUGGUUUCCCAUGGAAUGUGAUUUGCCUCAUCAUCUUACAGCCUGCCUCCACUUUGCUUUCUUAUCAUUUC